CUCGUAGGCGGUUUGUCGCGUCGUCUGUGAAAUUCUGCAGCUUAACUGCAGGCGUGCAGGCGAUACGGGCAGACUUGAGUACUACAGGGGAGACUGGAAUUCCUGGUGUAGCGGUGAAAUGCGCAGAUAUCAGGAGGAACACCGGUGGCGAAGGCGGGUCUCUGGGUAGUAACUGACGCUGAGGAGCGAAAGCGCGGGUAGCGAACA
rnacentral:rRNA from 1 species